GACCGAUUUUGCGAUUUCAAAUCGAAAUCGGAAAAUUCUUACAAAUUCGAUAACCGGAGCAUGCCCGACUAUUAUUAAUAAAUUUAUUUUAGACUACGAAAGCCACACACGAUAGUUCACGAAUUAUCACCUCUAGUCCGAGAUCGCCCCGUUAGCCAGGAAGAAUAACCUUACACGACCGUUUCCUGACUGCAUCUUUAUGGUUUCGAGAAAAUAUAGAGGCUUCAGGAGCUGUGAAAAUCCGGUCACAAGCUGUCGAAGUACUAUGCUAACCCAAUAAACUGUUACGAAUCUUGGAGCUGGCAAAGCAUUAAAUGAUACCAUUUACACGCAUUUGGACUUAAUCCUAAAUAUUCUACAGAAGUUCUUAAGUCCUUAAACAUUUUUCAGCAAUGAAUGAAAACCCAGCCUUUCGUAGAGUAUCUAACACAAUCUAUUACCUCUCAAGUGCGGAUUCCUAUUAACAGUAAAGGAAACUUGUCGGCAACUGUAUUUGAAUUUAAACGCGCACCCGUCGACAAGGUAACGGUCAGUAAGAACACGCAGAAAGCAGAUAGAACUAGUCAGUGAGUGUCGAAGUGGACAUACAAGGACGAUCACUGCAAGCUGCCCCUAUGACAUCCUGAGCCCCUUUCGAGUCGACAGGUGAUCCCUUGGCAGAAACGACAAGGGCCUGGAGUGGUUAGAAGGGACAGUGGUUGGCAAAGGUGGUCCUGGGAAAAGCGUUGGCUUGACGUAACGGACGAUACACCCUGCCCUAUUACAUCUAAGAGGAGCUGGCUUAGUUGAUCUUGGAUCGGAACAAAUGUUUCCAGGUGAAUCUUCGAGCGCAGGUGGUGGAUGCUGCGAGUUUGUCGGAUGUAGCACUCCACCCUCCGUUGUACUAUUGUUAUGCACUGCAACGUUGAGUACAAUCGGGCAACUCCCUCUUGGAGCUGCAACCGAAUCCGCUGUUUUGAAGCCUCAUUAUUAUUAUUUUUUUUUUGACUUCUGAAAGCUGGGCUUAGUGGUCCUCCUUAUAUAUCGGGAAUGGUUUGGAAUCAAGGCUACGUUUUUAGGUGACAUACAAGUCUUUCACAUGCCACGACACUUUUGCCCUGCUCAUAUGAAACUUUACUCUUAAGUUGUGACGGCUAGUCGGGGAUUGGACAGCUCAGGGGUUGGUCCAGGUUCGUCGCAGAUGUGGUUGCUGGAAGAGAAAGCCGACCCGGGCCAGAGUAAAACUCAGGAGUCCGCAUCGGGCUCCUCUCGGUGGGCUUGGCGUCCGGUGAGGGUGUCGUGUCGCUGCGUUAUGAUGAGUGGCUGCCGUCAGUGGUUUCGAGUCGCCUUGUUCGGCUGGGAAGUAAAAGAAGAACAGGCGCUCUCGGCCUGUCGCUGUACGAGCCAUAGA